AGCAGCCGCGGUAAUUCCAGCUCCAAUAGCGUAUAUUAAAGUUGUUGCAGUUAAAAAGCUCGUAGUUGAAUUUCGGGAUCGAAUUGUUGGUCGUGCUUCGGUACGCACUGGCAUUAUCGGUUUCUACCUUCUGAAGAACCGCGAUGUCAUUAAUUUGGUGUCGUGGGGAAUCAGGACUGUUACUUUGAAAAAAUUAGAGUGUUUAAAGCAGGCUUACGCUUGAAUACAUUAGCAUGGAAUAAUGAAAUAGGACGUUUGAUUCUAUUUUGUUGGUUUCUAGGAUCGACGUAAUGAUUAAUAGGGAUAGUUGGGGGCAUUAGUAUUCAAUUGUCAGAGGUGAAAUUCUUGGAUUUAUUGAAGACUAACUACUGCGAAAGCAUUUGCCAAGGAUGUUUUCAUUAAUCAAGAACGAAAGUUAGGGGAUCGAAGACGAUCAGAUACCGUCGUAGUCUUAACCAUAAACUAUGCCGACUAGGGAUCGGAUGAUGUUAAUUUUAUAAUGACUCA
rnacentral:rRNA from 1 species